AUGUACGCGGGGGAGGCCGAGAACGGGCAGCGGAGCAUGAUCCCAUUCAGGUCCAGCCGGAAGCGAGGCGGGGCUGGAGGCAACGACGGUGGUGAACUAGUGCUUCGGCGGUGGCGCUGGUUCACUGACAAAAAGAAACGAGACGAAGCGGAUGGAAGAAGCAGAGGAGGAGCCCGGCUUGCUCCGAUCUAG
rnacentral:rRNA from 1 species